rnacentral:rRNA from 1 species
UACGUAGGGGGCCAGCGUUGUCCGGAUUCAUUGGGCGUAAAGCGCGUGUAGGCGGUUCGGUAGGUCCGCUGUGAAAACUCGAUGGCUCAACCUCGAGAGGUCAGCGGAUACCGCCGGGCUAGAGUCCGGGAGAGGAGAGUGGAAUUCCUGGUGUAGCGGUGAAAUGCGCAGAUAUCAGGAAGAACACCGAUGGCGAAGGCAGCUCUCUGGAACGGUACUGACGCUGAGACGCGAAAGCGUGGGGAGCGAACAGG